rnacentral:lncRNA from 1 species
GCAUAUUUCCUCAAUUUUGGGGGUUAUUACUUGAAAUAAGUAUCGAAAAGGAGAAACAAUAAACAAUAUUUAAGUUUAAGAAAUCUUAAGGAAAAUAAUUAUAUAUCACAGAAAUCUAGCGAGAAGAACCAGAACUUUUUUUACUCAAGCACAGCUCGCUUUUGGCAUAAAAUUGAUCCAACAUACCAUGCAAAAUAAAUGAAAAAUAUCUUUGGCAACAUUCACUACUUGAACCAUUUAAAUAAAAAAUAAUGGGGUACCUAAAGCGGCAGUGAAUACAUAAAUAAUCUGCUCUGUAGUACGGUUAUCCUCAGUCAAUCAUUGUCGGUGACUUUCAUUCUCAUAAAUUUGAUUGCUUAUUGCGAAAAGGAACCAAGAACAUUUCAAUUUUGCUAAGAUAUUGAAACUUUGUUUUCCUUGCCAAUACAAACUGAUCAGCCUAAUAAAUUAAAUAUUCACUCCCAAUGAACUAAGAAUUAAGAAAAAAAUUAAAUUUGUACUUAUAAAUUUUUGCAUGACAUCAGUAAUUUUUUGCAGAGAAUGUAAGCUUCACAAUCCUAACAACACUGGAAUGCUUGUAGGAAGCUUGGAAUUUCUUUUUGCAAAGUGCAAUCCAAUUGAUGAGAGAGAAAGAUAGAGAUCUUGGAGCAAAAAAAGCCAGGUGAAUGCUUGGUUUGAAAAUGUAGAAAGUUAGAGGAAGGUUUAAAUUUUGCCUCACAGUCAGGAGAUAUCAGAAAAAGUAUAAGAAUUUAAAAAUAUUAAUUUAUGGAAACAUUGUGUCGUAAAAAAGAGAGAGGAUCAAAACCUGUAAGCUUGGCUGAUUUACUCCAAAUCUAUCUGAGCUGAAGUUAUCACUUUACGUCUUGACUAUUUGGAAUAUUUUUUAUCAUACAUUCUAUUCUUUUGUCAGCUCGCCUUAAAGCCCCCCCCCCCCCAAACACUGCCAAAAGAAAGCGCUAUGGGAUCAAUUGGCAUUUCAGUUUUAUUUUAUUUCAUCUAUGUUAAUCUGUGUUACAGAUCCCAGCGUUGAUCAGUUAAAACUGGAAGAGGAUCAUAAAUGGGUCCAAAACUCCUACUCUCCUUUUGACAUUUUCGAACAGAAGUGGCUGAGUACCAUUUAUUUGCGACUGAAGCCACUCCAUGGUGAUGGUAAUCUGCAGAUACACCAAUAUCUGGAAAAAUAUCCCGUGUAUAAGAAGGAAGUUGGAGCAACAGUGAUAAGAUUAGACUUCAACUGCCUCUUCCCAGGAAAAGAAAAUGUUUUGGUGACGACGUGGCCUGCUUUAAAGGACGACAUUCUGAAAGUAGUGGCGGUUAAGGCGACUGCUGAGCCGCAGUAUAAAACCUUUGUCGACAAUGAGUUUCCCCUUUUUGCCCUUCGUGACAGCUUGAGUAAGUAUAGAAUUCAGGAUAAGAACUCAUAUUUCUGUGUGUGGUUGUUUAAAACUUGGCCCAAAUUUCUCAUUUUUUCCUCCAUUUUUACUGCCAGAUUUAAGAAUGGCACAGAGCUCAAGACUUGAUUGUUCCUUACUACCUUACAUAACAUAUUCAUGCAUUCGACUCGUCUCUUAAAACUGACUGAAAAUAAACUCAUGGGCCAAGUCUGAUUAAAUGAGAGCUGAUGCUUCAAAUUGCUACCCCUGUUUUCCUCUCCAUUGAAUGCAAGGCUUAUGAUAUGAGAAUAAAAAAUUAAAUAUAUUUUGAAAAAAACAGUGUUUGAAUAUUACUGAGACGUUCUACUGCCCAAUUUGGCCUGCUUAAUCAAUAUUUAGGGGCCGACUUUUUUUGGAGACCAAAAUGGUUGUUUCUGAAAUAAUAAAUGAUGAGAACUGGAUGUCUUUUGGCACCUUAGAAUCAGGUUUCUCCUAACUGAUUACAUAUUCUCAUAAGUGUCUUUCACCCAAUUGAAUCUUUUAUAAGGGGUUCCUAACAGAUGCUAGUAUCAAUUAAGACAGUUUAUCGGGCCGUUGUUUUUAUAGCUAACUGAGUAGGAAUAUUUAGAUGACAACUUUGGUUAUGACUUUAAUUAUUGAGGCAACAAAGAGUAGUAUUUAGGUCUAUUUUGCGCAUGGUACCUGUCAGAUUUGAACAGUGUAGAAAAAAGUCAUGAGUAAAUACAUACAAAGAAGCCGUUUUCACAAUGCUCUUUGUCGCUCUGCGACACGUAGCCGCCACAGUUUCCUAUCCGGAGUCGGCACUCCCUCAUGUGUAAAUGCCAAUACCAUGUGAAGUCAAGAGGGUAUGAGAUGUAACCAGCUAUGUAUUCAUACCUUAUUUUCCUACAAUGCUUUCUCUCUUGACAGGAUGAGCUACCUAAAGAAUGUGCCGGUAACCCACUCACAAAUAUACUCGCUUUUAUUUGCAUAAAUCUGCCAUUUCGAAAUUAAGUGUGCAGAUACCACAUCUUUUAUAACCCCUUUUUCUUUUUGAUCAGUGAGGUCCGGUUUAUCAAGGUUUUACCGUAACUAGAAAGAAGGUCAUAACUAUCUUGUAACUUUGUUAUGUUCACUAUGUAACUGCCUUUCUCUCUGUUGACAGAUGAAGAAGAAAAGGCACUCCUUGCCCUAAGAACUCUACCUAGCCUGUUUGCCCCCCUACCGGGGAAAAAAAAGGAAAAAUUUUCACGCAAGGAAAUUGUUGAUGACUUUAUGCUGUUUGUGCCUUCAGACAAUGAAAUCGAAAUUGAACUAAAACGUCGUGACGAGAAGCUGAAAAAAUCUGGCAGACAAGCCCAACCCUUGCCGGUUGUCUCUGGCACCGAAUGCCCUCAUUGUGCUGUCGUUUUCAAUAACUAUAUGUAUAAUGUGGAAACGCCAAUUGAGGCAUUGGAUUUGUGUUUUAAACUGAUAAUGGUUUUGAACGCAGAGUUUUCACUCAUUAGUAAUCAGGUUUGGUCCUUAAUUCAGCAGCAUAUUUUCAAAAUUUCAACACCAUUUGAUACUAAAAUCCCAUCCGUAGAGGCUGUGGCAUCCACCUUGGGGCUCAUUUCUUCCUCACAGUGAUUUCUGUUAUGUGGGUUUUAUCGCUCAUGGUUUUGAUUAUCCUUGUUUUCCUUGUUUGUCCACCAGAGUUAAAUAAUUGAAUCAUUUUUUGAGGAA